AGCUUUCGUGAAUCCAUCCACGGGCCACCCAAUUUUCUCCUGCUCCGGCCCAUACAAAAUCUCAAAAUCCUCCAGAUGAAGGUCGCUCGGCCCAAACCUAGUAGUGUCUAGGGUUUUACCCUCUCCAACACGACGAGGUUUUGCUCCGACACCGACGCGACAGCCGACAAGGCAGGGGGAGAGGCCGAGAGGGGAAAUGGCAUCGUUGUCCCGCACCGCUGCUGCCGCUGUCGUGGCCCUGAGGUCGGCGGUCCGCUCCGCGCCCCUUACCGGCCGCGUCCUCGGAGCGCCACUACCUUCCUUUGCCUCGCCUUCCGCUACCCGCUCCGCCCGGAUCCUCCGCAGGUCGGCGGCCGCGGCGUCGGCGGGGCUGGAAACGCUAAUGCCGCUGCACAGCGCGGUGGCUGCCGCGCGGCUUAGGUCCUGCAUCGCCGUCGACUCCUCCUGCUGGUGCUCGCUCUCACAAGGUUUAAACAAGCGCAUCUGACCAUGGCUAGGAGCUGAGCAGAAGAGAAGUGAGGACACUGAGUUAAAACGAAGUCAUUUUUUUGUUGCAGAUAUUUGUAACAUGAUAUGCUUUGCCUUUAUGACAGCGAGGCGAGCUGCACCUGAAGAAACAAAAGAAUCUUAGGAAUUACAAACAAGGGCUGUACUGUAAUAAUGUGGUUCUUGUAAACCAAUUUUGCCUUAGAAUUCUGUAACUUGAAUCAUCCACAGAUGUGCGACUGUCUUUUGUUUAUGUGGAUCUAUGAAUUACCUGCCGCUCCUCGUUUGAACUA